rnacentral:lncRNA from 1 species
GGAUUACGUCAUUGUUUUAAUGAAGACAUUGAAAGUGUAUGGGGUCCAAACAUCUCCUUAGUAAAAGGAAUGGACUCAGGUAAGAUUUAAUGAUUUAUUGUUGGCAAUGUAAAUUUUUCAUGUUUAACCUCUAAUAUCAAUUUUUCCAAAUAUUAUUAAAUAUUGUUAUUUAAAUAUUAAAUUGAAAAGCUUAUCCCUAAAUAUUAAAUGAAGACUUAGUUCACAAAUUGCUCAUAAUUCUCUUUCUGCAUGCUUAGGGCAGGAUUUCCUAAAUAAAUGCCCGUGGAUUCUAGUUUUGUUAUUUUACAUUAGUGCAACAACACACAGUAAAGUUAGACUGAACUGCACGUGAAGAAAUCAAAUUGAAGAGCAUGUCAGUUAAAAAUCAAAUAUAGUAUAGUUUAAUUCUAACCAAUUCAUUCAAGCUCAAAUGAUUUGAACAGAUGCUCAAAGCAACACAACCUCUACAAUGGACUAUAAUUGUAACUGAUUGUAAUACUCUAACAUUACCCAAACUGUAACUAUAACUGAGUUGGAAUUAUUUUCUUGAUCAUUUUUUUUUCAUACAUUUCAGAUUUUAGUCCAAGCACGUUUUAGUAUUUAAUAACCAUGGAUGACUGGAUGAGCAUUAUGCGCAAAUUUUGUUCACAGCUGUUUAAGGAAUUAGUGUUAAAUGCAUACAUUGUAUAUCUUACAAGUGUUUGCAAAGGCUGCAGUUCUUAUGAACUGCCACCUUUGUAAGCCCUCCCCUUUUUUCCUUGAAGACAAUUUCAGUCUCUUCACAAGGAAAUAACCAAUCGGCGGCUCCUGUGCGCGCAUGCCUGUCUACAACAGAGGAGCUGCUCUGAGGUCUGUGAAGGAGGGGGAGGCAAGUAGAGCGUGGCUGCUACUUCCGUUAGCUUAGACCUUUCAGUCUAAAAGAAAUCAGCACUUUUAUAAACUGGGGUUAAGCUAGGCUACUCCUCACCCAUAAAGCACUUAAGCAAGUUGAAGUGCUUUUGGUGUGUGGAGUGGUCCUUUAAUCCCUUAAGAACUGAGCCAAAUGUACACGUUGUGAUCAAAACAAAACGUAAACAAAAACUUGAAUUUGCGCUUAAUGUCUGUUCAGGCGUAAUUCACCUUUUAUUUAAAAUACAGUUAGAACGAAAUUACACAUGUAUAUAUAUUUUUUAUUUAUUCAUUUUUUAUUAUUUUUUAAUUUUAUUUUUUUACGUAUUUACAUAUUUAUUUUUUAUUAUAUAUAAAUAUAUAUAUAUGUAUAUAUAUAUAUAUAUAUAUAUAUAUAUAUAUAUAUAUAUAUAUAUAUAUAUAAUGAAAAUGAUAUAUAUAUUUAAUCAAUAUCAUUGUACGUGUAUUUUAGAGCCGGUUCCUUAAGGACGGCGUAGAACGCCUGCCGUCCUUAAGGGGUUAACAAUGACACUUCAGAAGUCUGUGGACAAAUUUUUCACUCUAAACCAGUAUUCUUAGAGCUGGUUGAGCAAAAUGAAAAUGUAAUCCACAAACACUUAUCCUCCUCACCAUCUUUCUGUCUGUGUGUGUGUUUAUGUUUGUGACUGCAUAUGUAAUCUGUGAAUGUGACAGUUGGUGAAUGGUCGAAUGUGACUUGGCAGGUUAUUUGCUAUGUGAGGGUCAAGGGUGGUAGGUUAUUUGAUAUAUGACUGAGUGUGAUGAGUUAAUGGGACUGGAGUGGGUACCUGGAUGGGUGAUUGCAACUAGAUUGUGGUUUGCGAUUAAGUGACUAGUUUGGAGAAUGUGAUUUAAAGGUGAAUGCGGGUGAAUAUGUGAAAAGGUUGCAUAGCAAUAUGUGACAGUGUGGGUGAGGGAAGGUGGUAUGCAGGGCCAGCACAACCGUUAGGUGAACUAGGCAUUCACCUAGGGUUCCAGCCUGCUGGAGGCGCCCACCGGGAUAUUUCCUGGUGAGCUCCCCCUGUCCUAGGCUUCAGCGCUACGCGAGCGGCUCUUGAGCCGCCCCCUCCCCAGCGCCAGGCCGAUCCUCCAGGUGCCGAGAAUAGGGGCGCAGAGAGGAGACCUGUCAGGGCGCCCCUGAAGCUGUCCUUCAGUAUGGCAGAGCAGGCACCUGCUUACCCUCAUGGCAGGUGCCUACUCUGCCGAUAAAUGCCAGAGGAGAGGAGGCAGGCAGUGGCAAGGGAGGCUCUUCUUGCAGCUCCCCACUCCUCCCUCGCAUGCUGUCUGUGAUGUUGGGAGCCGGAAUAUGACGUUAUUCCAGCCCUAGCAUACUAGACAGCACUCUGGAGGAGUGAGGAGCUGCCUCACACUGGACCCCAGGGAGGUAGGGAGGCUGGUUGUCUGAGUCUGUGUGUUAGUGACUGUUUGACUGUGUUUGACUGUCAGUGAGUGUGUGUGUGUGUCUGUCAGUGAGUGAACGUAUGUAUGUCAGUGAGUGCCUGUGUGUGUAUGUCUGUCAGUGAGUGUGUGUGUGUGUUUGAUUGUCAGUGUGUGUGUCUGUCAGUGAGUGUUUGUCUGUGUGUGUGCAUGUCUGUCAGUAAGUGUGUGGGUGUCUGGCAAUGCGUGUGUAAGUGUUUGAUUGUCAGUGAGUGUCUGCCUGUGUGUGUGUGUGUCAGUGAGUGUAUGUAUGUCAGUGAGUGUCUGUGUGUGUAUGUCUGUCAGUGAGUGAGUGUAUGUCUGUCAGUGAGUUUCUGUGUGUGUGUAUGUCAGUGAGUGUUUGUGUCUGCCAGCGUGUGUCUGUCAUUGAGUGAGUGACAUAAGGGGGCGGCAAAAUGGAUCUUUGCCUAGGGUGGCAGAAAUCCUUGCACCGGUCCUGGUGGUAUGGCAUAUGUUUUACUUUGUAAAGUGAUAAAGCGAGUGGGUGUGCAUGAAGUGAAAGUGAGGAGGUAUGUAAAAGGGUGCGUGUAAAUUACUUGUCAGUGAGGGGGCAUGUGCAGAAUGGAUGUAAGUGGCUUGGAGGUGGGGAGCAAUGGGCAGUGUAAGUAUAAGAGCUUCUAAGUGGAUGAAAGUAAGUGACUGGGAUCUAGGGGGGUGUUGCAGGUUGGAUAUAAGUGACUGGGAGGUGGAAGUGUGCAGUGUGGGUGUAACUAGCCAGAAGAUAAGGGGCUUUGUUAGUGGGCAUUACUGAAUACAAGGUGUGGGUACAUGCAGAGUGUAAGUUACUGAAAGGUGGAGGGGAGUGGGAUUUGUAGGGUGGGUGUAAGUGACAAGAAUAUAGGGGUGUGUGUGUGAGAAGGAUUUGUGCAAAUGACUUGGAGGUGAGGAGUUAAUUCAUUAAAAGUGAGCAGGAGUGUAAUUAGGGUUUUUCUAAUUUAUACUAUUCACUCACCAUUUCUAUUCCCAUAGUGUGACUUGUAGCACCCAGUAGCCAUCUAAAAUAGGAUCUAAGACCUGCGUACAGUUCCCGUGGCAUGCUGCAUGGUAGCUAUUCUCUUGUAUCCCAAUCAGGGAAGAAGUGGUAUUCAUUGAUAAGGGGGUGAGAAGUAGGCAAGGCUGCAUUUUAAAGCAGCCCAAAUACUGUGCCUACUCCCCCUGCCUAUUUAUUGCAACUGCCUGCCUUUCAGUCUAUACAGUAGCUGCAAAGAAAAGUGCCAUGGAGCUGCUCUGUCACUAUACCUGGUGGCAGAACAGGCUAGUUGGUCUUUUUGCCAAUUCAGUUUCACCAGGUGCACCACUCUUAGCUCACUCUCUGCUUAGUGCAACCAUUUUUAAAUUCAGCAAAUCAAACUGCAGUGUGUGCAGGCAAAGCAUGUCAGGAUACAAAUUGGCAAUUGUUUUCGAGAUAAAAAUCAGCAUAACACACAUAUGGGCCCAUAGGAUGCCAGCAUUACCACUGAGAGAGGUGAUUAGCCUUUCCAACAGCUAUGCAAAAAAAAUAAAAAUACAAAUUCGCAAAAAUAACUGGACUAGGGGUAGCUCAGUUUACUGAUCCAAAUAAAUAUAGGGCAUAGGGGCAGAAUUUGCCAAAAUCUUCUGAGCCUAAUAAUGGAAUGAACAAUAUUUGCCAUAAAUAAGACCAGGGGUUUCCCAUGCCUUCAAUCUCAGAUCGUUAAAAAUAACCCCAGAUUACUUGAAAACCAUGUUCAUGAAUUUCUAUGGUUGUGUUUUGUUUAUUUAGCUGUUUGUUUUUUUUUUACAUUCUUUAUUUAUGCCAUAGUCAUGGAAAAUGCAUUGUAAAAGAAAGAUAAAUUAUGCAUCAAUUGAAAUAUGAGUGGCACAUAACACAGAAAAUUAUAAAUAACAGGGUUGCCUAUUUAGUUAUUAGUUGUAUUACUUAUUUCUGUUUAUGUCUCUUUGUUAGACACCUGUAUGAAGAAUGAAGAUAUUCGCAAAGAUUCUGUAUCUUACGGAUUUGCCAAUUUAUUAUAUAUUUCAUCAGCCCUUCUCUUAGUGGUAAUUUUCAUUACGUCACUUGCAUGUGCUACGAAAAGGUAUGUGCUAGCUUUUUUUUUUUUUUAAGCUAUAGAUAUA